rnacentral:rRNA from 1 species
UCAGAUUUGGAAUCGCUGCGGCGAGUUGUGAAUUGCAGGUUGGCGCCUCGGCGGCGGCGGCGGUCCAAGUCCCUUGGAACAGGGCGCCAUUGAGGGUGAGAGCCCCGUGGGACCGGCGCCUGAGCUGUGAGGCCCUUCUGACGAGUCGAGUUGUUUGGGAAUGCAGCUCCAAGCGGGUGGUAAAUUCCAUCUAAGGCUAAAUACUGGCGAGAGACCGAUAGCGAACAAGUACUGUGAAAAAGCACUUUGAAAAGAGAGUGAAACAGCACGUGAAAUUGUUGAAAGGGAAGGGUAUUGCGCCCGACAUGGAGCGUGCGCACCGCUGCCCCCCGUGGGCGGCGCUCUGGGCGCGCUCUGGGCCAGCAUCGGUUUCUGCCGCGGGAGAGGGGCGCGGGGCAUGUAGCUCUUCGGAGUGUUAUAGCCCCGCGCCUGCGCCGCGAGCGGGGACCGAGGUCUGCGACGCAAGUCACGGAUGCUGGCACAACGGCGCAACACCGCCCGUCUUGAA